rnacentral:rRNA from 1 species
UACGUGGGGUGCGAGCGUUGUCCGGAUUUAUUGGGCGUAAAGAGCUCGUAGGCGGUUUGUCGCGUCGGCCGUGAAAUCUCCACGCUUAACGUGGAGCGUGCGGUCGAUACGGGCAGACUUGAGUUCGGUAGGGGAGACUGGAAUUCCUGGUGUAGCGGUGAAAUGCGCAGAUAUCAGGAGGAACACCGGUGGCGAAGGCGGCAUCCUGGACCGACAUUGACGCUGAUGAGCGAAAGCUAGGGGAGCAAACGGG